rnacentral:rRNA from 1 species
UUCGGAUUGUAGGCUGCAACUCGCCUACAUGAAGUUGGAAUCGCUAGUAAUCGCGAAUCAGAAUGUCGCGGUGAAUACGUUCCCGGGUCUUGUACACACCGCCCGUCACACCACGAGAGUUUACAACACCCGAAGUCAGUGGCCUAACCGCAAGGAGGGAGCUGCCUAAGGUGGGGUAGAUGAUUGGGGUGAAGUCGUAACAAGGUAAC